GAUGAAGAACGCAGCGAAAUGCGAUACGUAAUGUGAAUUGCAGAAUUCAGUGAAUCAUCGAGUCUUUGAACGCACAUUGCGCCCCCUGGUAUUCCGGGGGGCAUGCCUGUCCGAGCGUCAUUGCUGCCCUCAAGCACGGCUUGUGUGUUGGGCCUCCGUCCUCCUCCCGGGGGACGGGCCCGAAAGGCAGCGGCGGCACCGCGUCCGGUCCUCGAGCGUAUGGGGCUUCGUCACCCGCUCUUGUAGGCCCGGCCGGCGCUUGCCGACACAUCAAUCUUUUUUCCAGGUUUACCUCGGAUCAGGUAGGGAUACCCGCUGAACUUAAGCAUAUCAAUAAGCGGAUGA
rnacentral:misc_RNA from 1 species